rnacentral:rRNA from 1 species
CAGCAGCCACGGUAAUACGGAGGGUGCAAGCGUUAAUCGGAAUUACUGGGCGUAAAGCGCACGCAGGCGGUUUGUUAAGUCAGAUGUGAAAUCCCCGAGCUUAACUUGGGAACUGCAUUUGAAACUGGCAAGCUAGAGUCUUGUAGAGGGGGGUAGAAUUCCAGGUGUAGCGGUGAAAUGCGUAGAGAUCUGGAGGAAUACCGGUGGCGAAGGCGGCCCCCUGGACAAAGACUGACGCUCAGGUGCGAAAGCGUGGGGAGCAAACAGGAUUAGAUACCCGCGUAGUCCCUGUCUCUUAUAA